rnacentral:rRNA from 1 species
AGUAACGGCGAGUGAAGCGGCAACAGCUCAAAUUUGAAAUCUGGCGCAAGCCCGAGUUGUAAUUUGUAGAGGAUGCUUCUAGGUAGCGACCGGUCUAAGUUCCUUGGAACAGGACGUCAUAGAGGGUGAGAAUCCCGUAUGUGACCGGCCCGCACCUUCUACGUAGCUCCUUCGACGAGUCGAGUUGUUUGGGAAUGCAGCUCUAAAUGGGAGGUAAAUUUCUUCUAAAGCUAAAUACCGGCCAGAGACCGAUAGCGCACAAGUAGAGUGAUCGAAAGAUGAAAAGCACUUUGGAAAGAGAGUUAAAAAGCACGUGAAAUUGUUGAAAGGGAAGCGCUUACAACCAGACUUCUGGGCGGUGUUCCGCCGGUCUUCUGACCGGUCUACUCACCGUCCCGAGGCCAACAUCAUCUGGGACCGCCGGAUAAGACCUUAGGAAUGUAGCUCCCCUCGGGGAGUGUUAUAGCCUGUGGUGAUGCGGCGCGUCUCGGGUGAGGUCCGCGCUUCGGCAAGGAUGUUGGCGUAAUGGUUGUCAGCGGCCCGUCUUGAAACACGGACCAAGGAGUCUAACAUCUAUGCGAGUGUUCGGGUGUCAAACCCCUACGCGUAAUGAAAGUGAACGGAGGUGGGAAGGGUAACCUGCACCAUCGACCGAUCCUGAUGUCCUCGGAUGGAUUUGAGUAAGAGCAUAGCUGUUGGGACCCGAAAGAUGGUGAACUAUGCCUGAAUAGGGUGAAGCCAGAGGAAACUCUGGUGGAGGCUCGCAGCGGUUCUGACGUGCAAAUCGAUCGUCAAAUUUGGGUAUA